AUUGAACGCUGGCGGCAUGCCUUACACAUGCAAGUCGAACGGCAGCACGGGUGCUUGCACCUGGUGGCGAGUGGCGAACGGGUGAGUAAUACAUCGGAACAUGUCCUGUAGUGGGGGAUAGCCCGGCGAAAGCCGGAUUAAUACCGCAUACGAUCUACGGAUGAAAGCGGGGGACCUUCGGGCCUCGCGCUAUAGGGUUGGCCGAUGGCUGAUUAGCUAGUUGGGGGGGUAAAGGCCUACCAAGGCGACGAUCAGUAGGUGGUCUGAGAGGACGACCAGCCACACUGGGACUGAGACACGGCCCAGACUCCUACGGGAGGCAGCAGUGGGGAAUUUUGGACAAUGGGCGAAAGCCUGAUCCAGCAAUGCCGCGUGUGUGAAGAAGGCCUUCGGGUUGUAAAGCACUUUUGUCCGGAAAGAAAUCCUUGGCCCUAAUACGGUCGGGGGAUGACGGUACCGGAAGAAUAAGCACCGGCUAACUACGUG
rnacentral:rRNA from 1 species